GCAGUCGACGGUAGCACAGAGGAGCUUGCUCCUCGGGUGACGAGUGGCGGACGGGUGAGUAAUGUCUGGGGAUCUGCCCGAUGGAGGGGGAUAACCACUGGAAACGGUGGCUAAUACCGCAUAACGUCGCAAGACCAAAGUGGGGGACCUUCGGGCCUCACACCAUCGGAUGAACCCAGAUGGGAUUAGCUAGUAGGUGGGGUAACGGCUCACCUAGGCGACGAUCCCUAGCUGGUCUGAGAGGAUGACCAGCCACACUGGAACUGAGACACGGUCCAGACUCCUACGGGAGGCAGCAGUGGGGAAUAUUGCACAAUGGGCGCAAGCCUGAUGCAGCCAUGCCGCGUGUAUGAAGAAGGCCUUCGGGUUGUAAAGUACUUUCAGCGGGGAGGAAGGGGAUGAGGUUAAUAACCUCGUUCAUUGACGUUACCCGCAGAAGAAGCACCGGCUAACUCCGUGCCAG
rnacentral:rRNA from 1 species